rnacentral:rRNA from 1 species
GUGAACGCUGGCGGUAGGCCUAACACCUGCAAGUCGAACGGCAGCACAGUAAGAGCUUGCUCUUACGGGUGGCGAGUGGCGGACGGGUGAGGAAUACAUCGGAAUCUACUUUUUUGUGGGGGAUAACGUAGGGAAACUUACGCUAAUACCGCAUACGACCUACGGGUGAAAGCAGGGGAUCUUCGGACCUUGCGCGAUUGAAUGAGCCGAUGUCGGAUUAGCUAGUUGGCGGGGUAAAGGCCCACCAAGGCGACGAUCCGUAGCUGGUCUGAGAGGAUGAUCAGCCACACUGGAACUGAGACACGGUCCAGACUCCUACGGGAGGCAGCAGUGGGGAAUAUUGGACAAUGGGCGCAAGCCUGAUCCAGCCAUACCGCGUGGGUGAAGAAGGCCUUCGGGUUGUAAAGCCCUUUUGUUGGGAAAGAAAAGCAGCAGGUUAAUACCCCGCUGUUCUGACGGUACCCAAAGAAUAAGCACCGGCUAACUUCGUG